GUCUUACAUUCAUUUCCCUCUGCUCUGUGGCAAGGAAAUGGACGUCUCCACAACAUGAUCCUUGUGCUCAGAGAAAGAAUGCAGUGGAGCCAUUUGACCUAAUGACGUUGUCCCUCAGGUCCAGAAUCUCUCCUCAGACUGAAGGCCCCCCACUUAGUGUAUUUGACAAGCUGAGUAGGACACUCGGUAUGGCAGGGUGUCAGUUUGUCAAAUACCCCAAGUGAGAGGUCACUUUUCUCCAAGAUCAUCUCCAAGUUCAUGUCAUGAUGCGGAAGAAACUUUGCAGUCACUAUCCCCAACCCUGACCUUGUGAUCUGAGAGCACUAUGAGCGUUAAUAAUGCUUUGGGUGGUGUUACUUUGCCCUCCGGCAUAGUAAUACCACUGCAUUGUUCCAAAUAAAUAAAGAUAAAUUCAUGGUAAUCAACUGCUAAGAUUACCAUAGGUUAGACUAACAGAAAGGAAGGGUCCUAGUGAUAUCAUUGUGCAUUGUACUUUGUCAUGUAAGCCGAUUUUAUAUGGUUCAAGUCAUUGCCGGGGCAUUGGGGGAGUGGAUUUUGAGUGGCUUACCUGAAGACACAUCAUGGUAAAACAGUUCAGGUAAUCAUUUUGGAGGUGAUUGUGUGUGUGUGUGUGUGUGUGUCAUGUCCUAUUUGCACUUGUACCUGUUACCUGAUGUGUCACCUUUGCCAGUAAUGUUUGGGGAUAUAUUUCAAAUAAUGGUUGGCAUUUAUAUAGCGCCUUUAUCCAAAGCGCUGUACAAUUGAUGCAUCUCAUUCACCCAUUCAUACACACACUCACACACCGACGGCAAUUGGCUGCCAUGCAAGGCACCGACUAGCUCGUCAGGAGCAUUUGGGGGUUAGGUGUCUUGCUCAGGGACACUUCGACACAGGCUGGGCGGGGGAUCGAACCGACAACCCUCUGACUGCCAAACAACUGCAAAUCUUUGUCUAAGACUGAAAUUGCAAUUUUAUCAAUAGAGUGAACAACUAUGACUGAAAUAUGAGAAGACUGUUUUUAAUAUAUUCUAAAACUGUUUCUCUAAAAAUCUGAAUAAUGUGCUUACAGUUCCUUGUCCACACUAUGUAUUGCAGACCAAAUGUAAUUAAUUACAAACGCAUUUAUGCAAAUAGACUUUGAAUGAGUCCCAGCAUUAUAAAAGGCAUUGGCAAAUACAAUCCAUUAUGUAUUGCAUAUUAUGACAAAGCUGUGUGGUUGAGACUAAAUGCAAACCAGGAACCUCGAGUAACCGUGGCAAUGAAUGUAUUUGUUCAUAAUGACACAUUGACAUUUUAUUUUUGCUUUUUUUGUGUAAAUAAUUGUAAUGGUCAAAUUAACAGUGGUUAAUGCAGUAGAAGAACAUGUCAUGGGUAAUAUAUUAAAUGGUGACCUUCAGUAAAAUUAUUCAGUUUGUCAGCAAGAGCCGCAAGACACGAAGCCAUGAUCAAGUGACAGUUGGCCAUUUCUUCACAGCAUGAACCACUCAAGGCUAUCUUCAAAAAGUGCUGCUCUUCACUUCCCGUGGCUGAGUUUUGAGUAAGAGAGGAUGUGAGCUAUCUUGUGAUCAGAUAGCUAUAUAUGGAGAAUGUGUCACCACAGAAAGUAGCAUGGCAACAUCUCUCAUACAUUUUUAUAUUUAUAUGGGCCCCAUGUAGCUGUUAGAUCUCAUUAAUGUGUGACAAAGUCAUUAAAGAAUCUACACUGCUGAGCUUUGUUUAAAAAUAAAACCUUUACCAUAAUUGUGUGGAUAACAGACAAAA